rnacentral:rRNA from 1 species
UACGUAGGGUGCAAGCGUUAAUCGGAAUUACUGGGCGUAAAGCGUGCGCAGGCGGUCUUGCAAGACAGAUGUGAAAUCCCCGGGCUCAACCUGGGAACUGCAUUUGUGACUGCAAGGCUGGAGUACGGUAGAGGGGGAUGGAAUUCCGCGUGUAGCAGUGAAAUGCGUAGAGAUGUGGAGGAAUACCGAUGGCGAAGGCAGCCCCCUGGGAUAACACUGACGCUCAUGCACGAAAGCGUGGGGAGCAAACAGG